rnacentral:rRNA from 1 species
GAUGAACGCUGGCGGCGUGCCUAACACAUGCAAGUCGAGCGAUUCUCUUCGGAGAAGAGCGGCGGACGGGUGAGUAACGCGUGGGUAACCUGCCCUGUACACACGGAUAACAUACCGAAAGGUAUGCUAAUACGAGAUAAUAUACUUUUAUCGCAUGGUAGAAGUAUCAAAGCUUUUGCGGUACAGGAUGGACCCGCGUCUGAUUAGCUAGUUGGUAAGGUAACGGCUUACCAAGGAGACGAUCAGUAGCCGACCUGAGAGGGUGAUCGGCCACAUUGGAACUGAGACACGGUCCAAACUCCUACGGGAGGCAGCAGUGGGGAAUAUUGCACAAUGGGCGAAAGCCUGAUGCAGCAACGCCGCGUGAGCGAUGAAGGCCUUCGGGUCGUAAAGCUCUGUCCUCAAGGAAGAUAAUGACGGUACUUGAGGAGGAAGCCCCGGCUAACUACGUGCCAGCAGCCGCAGUAAGAC